rnacentral:lncRNA from 1 species
CAAAACAAAGGGAUGCAUCAUAGGUCACUUCAUUAGAGAAGGGCCUAUGGGUGUCCAGUUACUCAGUGUUUUUAUUAAUUUGGGUUCUAUGCAAAAAAGAAAUCUACCUCAUCUCUUCAUAAGAAUAUCUGGAGGAGGGUCCAGAACCCAAAUGAAAGGUCAGAGUGACCACCAAACAAUUCUUAGCAAUCGAGCUUCAUCUUUGAUAGACUUGGUUGUUAAACAUUUACCAGGACACCCCUCCGUGGGUGACUCAGCCUUUUAGAGAGAGGGAAGGCAGCAGCCAAAACUUCAAAAUCUCAUCCUGCCCUUCUGAAGCCUGUUAACUUCUGGGUGAAAGAGAAUGUGAUCAUUCCCAACUAAUGCCCAGGCUACAGGUUCAGUCUUGCAGAGCCUAGGGUGGAAUGCAGAGUUCCCUGAAGGCACUCGCCCUUGACAUUCCACAAGAAAAAAUAAAUCUCUGUUGAAGGCCCUCA